rnacentral:rRNA from 1 species
GAUGAACGCUGGCGGCGUGCCUAAUACAUGCAAGUCGAACGCUGAAGGAGGAGCUUGCUCUUCUGGAUGAGUUGCGCACGGGUGAGUAACGCGUAGGUAACCUCCCUGGUAGCGGGGGAUAACUAUUGGAAACGAUAGCUAAUACCGCAUGACAACAGUUAUUGCAUGAUAACUGUUUAAAAGGGGCAACUGCUCCACUACCAGAUGAACCUGCGUGGUAUUAGCUAGUUGGUGAGGUAACGGCUCACCAAGGGGACGAUGCGUAGCCGACCUGGUAGGGGGAUCGGCCCACUGGGAAUGGGACAACGGCCAGACUCCUACGGGAGGCAAGAGUAGGGGAACUUCGGCAAUGGACGGAAGUCUGACCGGGGAACGCCGGGGGAGUGAAUAAGGUUUUCGGGUCGUAAAGCUCCGUUGUAAGAGAAGAACGAGUUGGAGAGUUGAAAGUUCACGCUGUGACGGUACCUUACCAGAAAGGGACGGCUAACUACGUG